GACGAACGCUGGCGGCGUGCCUAAUACAUGCAAGUUGAGCGCUGAAGGUUGGUCCUUGUACCAACUGGAUGAGCAGCGAACGGGUGAGUAACGCGUGGGGAAUCUGCCUUUGAGCGGGGGACAACAUUUGGAAACGAAUGCUAAUACCGCAUAAAAACUUUAAACACAAGUUUUAAGUUUGAAAGAUGCAAUUGCAUCACUCAAAGAUGAUCCCGCGUUGUAUUAGCUAGUUGGUGAGGUAAGGCCCACCAAGGCGAUGAUACAUAGCCGACCUGAGAGGGUGAUCGGCCACAUUGGGACUGGGACACGGCCCAAACUCCUACGGGAGGCAGCAGUAGGGAAUCUUCGGCAAUGGACGAAAGUCUGACCGAGCAACGCCGCGUGAGUGAAGAAGGGUGUCGGAUCGGAAAACUCUGUUGGUAGAGAAGAACGUUGGUGAGAGUGGAAAGCUCAUCAAGUGACGGUAACUACCCAGAAAGGGACGGCUAACUACGUG
rnacentral:rRNA from 1 species